CCCAUUCUCACUCCAAAGGCGUCAAAAACCGAAGCAUGGUCAAGCGCCCCUAGCGUCACUUUUAUGACGCCAAAUGUGCCUCUCGGCGUCGACUAUCGAAGCACUACGACCUUCAUUGCUUUCAGUGGGAAACUUUUGGCGUCAGAAUUCGACACGAGGACAUGAGAUGUUUAUCGCUAUGAAAUCACGUUCAAGAAGUCUCAUUCAGCAUACAUCGCGCGAUACUUGCUAUCAGUUCCACAGUUUGGCUGAAAAGACGUAAAGGCAGUCAGCCCAGUGGUGUUUCUGGAGAGGGAUUCCUUCAUAAAUGGAGAAGACAGAAAGCUGCGGAGGCAGAUAUUUGCAGCAUGUUCGAGUGAGCAUGAUGACCACGAGUGUGUGUCGAACUUUUCAUGACCUGAUGACUGUGUUUCCCAAUCCUGAUCCUGGAGAACCCCAGCACUGCACGGUUUUGGUGUCUCUCUUAUCUGCCUUGGAGUCUUCACUGAUGAGCUGAUGAGUUGAAUCAGGAUUGUUUGAGGAUAACACUGCAGUUCUCCAUCAUGCACAAGGACUCACCUCGUUAACUCUUUAUCCCCCACACACACAGAUAUGGUCCCUGGAUCAGUGAUUAGACUUUGCAGUGGUUUGAUUUUUGCAGAAGAUGUAACUUUGUUUUAUUUAUAAGCUCAUAAUGAAUACAUUACAGAACCAGUGAUGAAAACAAUAGUUAAAAAUAGUAUUUUUCGUAUUGAUAAAGCAUUUUGUUCUCUUUUUCAAGCUUCAUACAGUGAACUUUUUAGACUUUAAUUAAGAGUUUUAGUAAAGGAGAUAUUCAUACACAGUCAUCCCCUAGCUCCAGUCAUGAAGUGAAUUCAUGAUGUUAUUGUCAAAGCUAGCAGGUGUUUGUUUUCCUGAACACUUUCUCUGUCUUCUAUUGUUCAGACAAUCAGUGUUUAUUUGAUGCUGUGCUGAUUGAGUUUUAUAGAUGAUAUUGCACACUUGACAUGCAUGUCUUCAUGGUGUUUUUUUGUGAGUUUGAAACAUUUACAUUGUGUUGUAUAACAUUUUGGUCAAUUUAAUUUUUUUAAUAAAAUUGAUCUUUUUCCAGUGUUCUCUGAAAGACAUACUGUAUUUACUGUUUUGUUUUUUAAUAAAAGCAUUUUCAUUUGCAUACUGAAAAUAGUUAAUGUUUACAACAUAACUGCCUUUUUAUUCUUUAUGGUGGCAAAAACGAGCUUGGUGACAGAGGAUGCAGUGUAGUAAUUUGGGCAUGUUGUCUUUAAAUGAGUUUGACAUAUCAAUAAAUAAUGGAAGAUCCUUACAAAAA